UGGGGAAUAUUGGACAAUGGGCGAAAGCCUGAUCCAGCCAUGCCGCGUGUGUGAAGAAGGUCUUCGGAUUGUAAAGCACUUUAAGUUGGGAGGAAGGGCAGUUACCUAAUACGUGAUUGUUUUGACGUUACCGACAGAAUAAGCACCGGCUAACUCUGUGCCAGCAGCCGCGGUAAUACAGAGGGUGCAAGCGUUAAUCGGAAUUACUGGGCGUAAAGCGCGCGUAGGUGGUUAGUUAAGUUGGAUGUGAAAUCCCCGGGCUCAACCUGGGAACUGCAUUCAAAACUGACAAGCUAGAGUAUGGUAGAGGGUGGUGGAAUUUCCUGUGUAGCGGUGAAAUGCGUAGAUAUAGGAAGGAACACCAGUGGCGAAGGCGACUUGCUGGACUUAUGGUGACGCUGAGACGCGAAAGCGUGGGGAGCAAACAGGAUUAGAUACCCAGGUAGUCCCUGAGCGGGCUGGCAAGGCGCAU
rnacentral:rRNA from 1 species